UGCGUAGGCGGCGCGGUAAGUCGGGUGUGAAAUACUCGGAGGCUUAACUCCGAAACUGCAUUCGAUACUGCCGUGCUUGAGGACUGGAGAGGAGACUGGAAUUUACGGUGUAGCGGUGAAAUGCGUAGAUAUCGUAAGGAAGACCAGUGGCGAAGGCGGGUCUCUGGACAGUUCCUGACGCUGAGGCACGAAGGCCAGGGAGCAAACG
rnacentral:rRNA from 1 species